AUUGUCUUCUCCCCCAAGGAAAGAAGGACACGCCCUUAUGCACGCAGCAUUUUUCUGUGUGUGAAAGAGGGGCUGGAAAGGCAGCGCACAAAAAUCACAUUCUUGUCCCGCUGCAGAAUGCACUGCCCGGGGCGCUCUCUCCUCGGCGGCGCCGGCUGGCUCAGCAGAAAGCUGCGGGGAAGCUGGCGGAGAGCUUAGUCACGGCCUUUCGAACCCUCCUCCACUGCUUCCAAGUUCAAAGGAGAGAAGAAACGAGAGAAACGAGGCCUCCCAGACCUUCACAGGGAGACACCCUGCCAGAGCAGCACCAACCAUCUCCCAAGCAGCCCCCCAUUCCCAUCUUCAUCAUUGAAGAAGUACAACAAUAGGAUGGACACUACUUUGAAGCACCUGCUGUGUGCAACCUCAGUGCCAAGUGCCCUCGUACCUGCCCUGGAGCCCUCCCGGCCGCCUGACCACGUGGAUACUGUUAGCCCUCCUUAGAGACAAGAGAGCCGAGUCUCAGAGACACAGAUUAACUUGCCAGAGAGCACACGAGGAGAGAAUGGAGGAGCUGGAAGGGGCCCCACCCCUGCUGCCCCCCGUCCUUUCAAGACACCAUCCAGCCUCAGGAAUUCAAAAGAAAAGGGACCGUACUCCAGUUACUCCUGGAAGCGCACACACGCAGGGAGUCCCCAGCCUGUUCCCCACACACGACCCGAUGUCCUCACCUGUCUCCCCUACCUCUUCUUUUUCCACCUUCUGUCACAUCUUUCUUCACCCCUACCACGUGGCACCAGUGUUGACUGAGGCACCUGACUGCACACUAAGGAUUGAAUUUUCCAGUUGACGCUGGUCCAAGGGUCUGGGUGGGGAGUGGCUGCUUAAAUGGGUACAGAAUUCCUUUUGGGGGGAAUGCAUUCGCUCUGGAGCUAGAGACAGACGGUGGGGCCACAACAUUGGGAAUGUGCGAAAUGCCACCGGAUUGUUCACCUUAAAAUGAUUAAUUUUAGGUGAUGGGAAUUUCACCUGAGUAAAUUAAAAAGGUUUGGGAAAUGUCCAACAAAGGAACUCCAUGGCUGAUUGUUUAAAAAUAUUUUAAUGUUUAUUUAUUUUUGAGAGACAGAGUGCGAGUGGGGGAGGCACAGACAGAGGGAGACACAGAAUCUGAAGCAGGCUCCAGGCUCUGAGCUGUCAGCACGGGGCCUGAUGCGGGGCUCAAACUCAUGAACCGUGAGAUCGUGACCUGAGCAAAAGUCGGACCCUCGACCGACUGAGCCACCCAGGCGCCCCGUGGCUGAUUGUUUUUAAUACUGUCCCAGCCUAAAAGCGCAUCAUGCCUCCUUCUUUGCUGAAAGCACGCUCUCAUCAGAUGUGUCCAGGCAGCAGGGAACAGUUCCCUGAGACCCCUGUGGUGUGGGCAGGUUGUUAGGUGAGUCACAAUGGGACAGAGUUUCGGAUGCCCUGCCCUCUCUCCCAUCUCAGCAUCUCCCAUGCCUACACAUCCUGUUCACACUAAAGUUGAGGCAAGACAGGAUAUCCAGAGACUUGGAGGUCAGGCUUACCAAAAAGUGACUCAGUGAAAUGGAUUCUCAGUGCACCUGUCCCUCAGAGACUAUGACUUCUCGUUGUGGCACUUCUAGAAAACCAAUGACAGACAGAACUGCCCGCCUACGUCCUGGAACACCCUCCCCAGGACGCAUGAUGAGGCAGCUUCCUAAUUGCUGGGUGGCCUCUGAAUGCUGUGACCCUCUGAGACAUGUCACCUGGCAGGUUCUCCAAGAGGUGCUGCCUGUCCCACAGGCCACAGGCUGCAAGAGGCCACGGAAGGAGCAGGACCAGCCUGGCCACAGGGAGACAGAGCAUGAGUGGGAGAGGGGCAAAGAGAGAUGAAGACACAGAAUCUGAAGCAGGCUCCAGGCUCCAAGCUGUCAGCACAGAGCCUGAGAUGGGACUCGAACCCACGAACCAUGAGAUCAUGACCUGAGCCAAAGUCGGAUGCUUAACCGACUGAGCCACCCAGGCGCCCCUGCCUCUAUGUAUUUUCUGAUUUUGUCUUUAAUUUCUUGGUUGACCCAGCUGUGAGCCUUCUUGACGAGAGAAAGAUACCAAGAGCAAAAAGCAGCUGAACUUUCCCAACAGAGGUGUCCAGACAAAUCCCUGAACACACACGUUCACAGCAGCAUGACAAUAACCAGAGGCGGAAGCAUCUCCAGUGGCCAUCAGUGGAUGAGUGGAUAAACAAAUUGUGGCAGAUUCCUACCAUGGAAUAUUACUCAGGCGUAAAAAGGACUAAAGCGCUGACACCUGUAAGAUGUUAAUAACCACCCCCCUGAAACAUUAUACUCUGUGAAAGAAGCCAGACACAAAGGACCCAAUAUUGCAUGAUUCCAAUUAGAUGAACUAUCUAGAAGAGUAAAUUCAUAGAGACAGGAAGCACUUUGGUGGUUUCGAGCAUUACGGAGAGGGGUGUAGGGGAAUAGGGCUUGAUUGCUUAGUGGGUAUGAGGUUCCCAUGAUGAAAAUGUUAUGGAACUAGUUAGAAGUGAUGGUUGUACAACACUGCAAAUUGACUAAAUGCCACUAUACACUUUAAAAUGGUCAAUUAAAAAUUAUUUA